CCUACGGGAGGCAGCAGUGGGGAAUAUUGGACAAUGGGCGAAAGCCUGAUCCAGCAAUGCCGCGUGAGUGAUGAAGGCCUUCGGGUCGUAAAGCUCUUUUACCAGGGAUGAUAAUGACAGUACCUGGAGAAUAAGCUCCGGCUAACUCCGUGCCAGCAGCCGCGGUAAUACGGAGGGAGCUAGCGUUGUUCGGAAUUACUGGGCGUAAAGAGUACGUAGGCGGUUAUUCAAGUCAGAGGUGAAAGCCCGGGGCUCAACCCCGGAACUGCCUUUGAAACUAGAUAACUAGAGUCUUGGAGAGGUUAGUGGAAUUCCGAGUGUAGAGGUGAAAUUCGUAGAUAUUCGGAAGAACACCAGUGGCGAAGGCGACUAACUGGACAAGUACUGACGCUGAGGUACGAAAGCGUGGGGAGCAAACAGGAUUAGAUACCCUGGUAGUCCACGCCGUAAACGAUGAUAACUAGUUGUUCGGUCACUUGGUGACUGAGUGACGCAGCUAACGCAUUAAGUUAUCCGCCUGGGGAUACGGUCGCAAGNUUAAAACCNAAAGAUUGACGNUGAGNNGCGAGACGACACGAGGAGAG
rnacentral:rRNA from 1 species